rnacentral:rRNA from 1 species
AAUAGAUACCCGGGUAGUCCACGCCGUAAACGAUGGAUGCUAGCUAUUGGGGGGAAUCGACCCCCUCCGAAGCGAAGCUAACGCGUUAAGCAUCCCGCCUGAGUAGUACGAGCGCAAGCUUAAAACUCAAAGGAAUUGACGGGGACCCGCACAAGCGGUGGAGCGUGUGGUUUAAUUCGAUGGUAAACGAAGAACCUUACCAAGGUUUGACAUCCCGGUAGCCGUUCUCCGAAAGGAGAAUUUCAUUUAGUUGGACCGGUGACAGGUGAUGCAUGGCCGUCGUCAGCUCGUGUCGUGAGAUGUUGGGUUAAGUCCCGCAACGAGCGCAACCCUUAUGAUUUAGUUGGAUUUUUCUAAACAGACUGCCCUGGUAACAGGGAGGAAGGAGGGGAUGAUGUCAGGUCAGUAUUUCCCUUACACCUUGGGGCGACACACGCGCUACAAUGGCCGGUACAAUGGGCAGCUAAGCCGCGAGGUGGAGCAGAUCCCAUCAAAGCCGGUCCCAGUUCGGAUUGCAGGCUGAAACCCGCCUGCAUGAAGCCGGAAUCGCUAGUAACC